CUAGCAUCUAGCCCCUGCUUUAUCAGCCGUUCUAUUUGAACAGCCUGCGUGGGGGGCCUGUGACUUUUUGUUUCUUUGGAAUUUUGUUUCUGUUUUUGCUGAAUGUGAUAAGCGUGCUCAAUCUUAAUCAGAGAAGGGAGGGCCACGAUCACACCCUGCAGUGCGCAGAGGACAAAGAGUGAAGUUAAAGCAGAUGAACAGCGCAGAAGCCCUAAGGAGCAUGCUACCUGAGGUGCACAUGCAUGCAUGCAUGUAUCUGUAUGGAGAAGUGAAUAAGCAAACUGAUAAGAGCAGAGGAGGAGUUUCUAGAUCAAGUCCACGGCAAACCAAAUACAGAAAAGGAAAAGGCUCUCAGCUCAGAAGACAGCAUCAGUUGGGGUAGAACACAGGGCUGAUGUGGGGCCGUGUGACCAAUAAACAGGUACACCACUCUAA